ACCUCGGAUCAGGUAGGAAUACCCGCUGAACUUAAGCAUAUCAAUAAGCGGAGGAAAAGAAACCAACAGGGAUUGCCCUAGUAACGGCGAGUGAAGCGGCAACAGCUCAAAUUUGAAAUCUGGCCCUCGGGUCCGAAUUGUAAUUUGUAGAGGAUGCUUUUGGUGAGGUACCUUCCGAGUUCCCUGGAACGGGACGCCAUAGAGGGUGAGAGCCCCGUCUGGUCGGAUACCGAUCCUCUGUAAAGCUCCUUCGACGAGUCGAGUAGUUUGGGAAUGCUGCUCUAAAUGNNAGGUAUAUGUCUUCUAAAGCUAAAUAUUGGCCAGAGACCGAUAGCGCACAAGUAGAGUGAUCGAAAGAUGAAAAGCACUUUGAAAAGAGAGUUAAAAAGUACGUGAAAUUGNUGAAAGGGAAGCGCUCAUGANCAGACUUGGGCUUGGUUGAUCAUCCNGGGUUCUCCCUGGUGCACUCUUCCAGCCCAGGNCAGCAUCAGUUCGCUGNGGGGGANAAAGGCUUUGGG
rnacentral:rRNA from 1 species